rnacentral:rRNA from 1 species
UAAGGAAUAUUGGACAAUGGAGGCAACUCUGAUCCAGCCAUGCCGCGUGAAGGAAUAAGGCCCUCUGGGUUGUAAACUUCUUUUAGACGGGACAAAACCCCUUUACGUGUAAAGGGUUGAUGGUACUGUCAGAAUAAGCAUCGGCUAACUUCGUGCCAGCAGCCGCGGUAAUACGAAGGAUGCAAGCGUUAUCCGGAAUUAUUGGGUUUAAAGGGUGCGUAGGCGGACUAAUAAGUCAGUGGUGAAAGCCUGCAGCUUAACUGCAGAAUUGCCAUUGAUACUGUUAGUCUUGAGUACAGUUGAGGUAGGCGGAAUGUGUCAUGUAGCGGUGAAAUGCGUAGAUAUGACACAGAACACCCAUUGCGAAGGCAACUUGCUAAGCUGUAACUGACGCUGAGGCACGAAAGCGUGGGGAGCAAACA